GAUGAACGCUGGCGGCGUGCCUAAUACAUGCAAGUCGAGCGAACGGACGCGAAGCUUGCUUCUCUGAUGUUAGCGGCGGACGGGUGAGUAACACGUGUAUAACCUACCUAUCAGACUGGGAUAACUUCGGGAAACCGGAGCUAAUACCGGAUAAUAUUUUGCACCGCAUGGUUCAAAAGUGAAAGACGGUCUUGCUGUCACUUCUAGAUGCAUCCGCGCUGCAUUAGCUAGUUGGUAAGGUAACGGCUUACCAAGGCAACGAUGCAUAGACGACGUGAGAGGGUGAUCGGCCACACUGGAAGUGAGACACGGUCCAGACUCCUAAGGGAGGCAGCAGUAGGGAAUCUUACGCAAUGGGCGAAAGCAUGACGGAGCAACGCCGCGUGAGAGAUGGAGGUCUUCGGAUCGGAAAACUCUGUUAUUAGGGAAGAACAGAUGUGGAAGUAAAUGUGCACAGCUUGACGGUACCGAAUCAGAAAGCCACGGCUAACUACGUG
rnacentral:rRNA from 1 species